UUUAUGUUUAAGUUGACAAAUUAAGAAGAAAAAUAAAGUAAAACUGACCAAAUUGGACAAAAAGGUCUUUUGGGUCAAAAUUCAACUUAACGGUUUAGUAGGUAUAAUGCUAAAAUGGGACUUAUUUAAGAAAAUCAAACUUUAUGCUUGUGACCUUAUUUUGUGAUUAUGGGUGAUCGAAAGUAGAAUACUCAAUAACUUAAUUUUAUAUAAUUGUCUAAAAGUAAACCAUUCUAUUUAAAAAAUGUUGUUCUUGGUAGUGAUCUGAUCCGGUCCAAAUGGUGUCAUUUUUUUUAACACAGGGUUAAUGAGGAUUUAUUAUACAACAUGUAUUUUGUAUAAUGUCAUUACUAAUUUUUAGUAAUUUGGGUUCAAUUACAUAAUUACUAAUUUUCAUAAUACAUCUGAUAAUUCAUGUUAUUAAAAUGGACUCAUGUUUAUUAUUGCAGCUGAUUUAAAAAAGAAAAGCAACAAACCAAAGAGACCAACCAUCAAGUCACUAUUCGAGGAAGGGCCAGAAACAGAGGCAGUUACAACAUCUGAUGCUGACAUUACUUCUUCUGAUCACUAAAAUUGGUGAUGAAUAUAUGGAGUGGGAGAAUAUUUACAGCAUGGAUAAAAGACAUAAUCAAAUUAUAAACGAUCAUAUACAAGAUGGGCGAAUGAUAAAAUGUUUUCAUAAUCAACAAAUGAAAACCCAAACUCAUGUCCAGAAAAAUCGAUACACUCUGUAACAACAGUUUGUUGGACGAAUGUGAGUUUCUGAUCUUGAGGAGUUAACCUAAAAGCAUCUAUCUUCAGUGCUGCAAAGUCUGGACCUUUGAUGUAAAAUGCCAUGCCUUCCUUUAAUAUAUUUUUGAAUCGAUAUAUGUUUCUUUUUGAAACCGUUACUUGGAUUUUGUUUCCCUAAAAAUAUUUAAUACAACAAUAAAAACUUUAGAAGGAAUUUAAAAAUAACGAAAUAUGUGUAAGAAAUAUAUCAAAUUAAGUUUUGGAAGGUAUUUUUUCAUCCAAUAAGAUCAUUUCAAUUGACCAAAUUUCAUUUUUUUUUGUAGAAACACAUUUGAUGCCAAAGGUUUAUGACACGAAGCUUGAAGGUCAAGUCAUCCCUGGUUACAUCCAAAUCAGGUAUGAAGGGUUUUGAAUGUGAACAAAAUCUGUUGGGAUUAUAUGGGCGGGAAAUGAAGAUGUAGAAUUCUGGAGUAAUGACACGUGGCAAUAUGUUGUGCUAAUAGUUGGACAAGUGGCAUUUAGUAUAGUGUUUU